UAAUGUUUAAUAACUUUUAUAUACAUGUAUAAAUAAACCUAUGUAUGUUUUUGAUUCAACGGCUUCCCCUGGAAAUCCUCAGGGAAGUUAUUUUGUCGGCGGGUGACUCUGCAUAUUUGACACUUUCUCUGGUUUGCAGAUGGUUAAGGGAUGUGUUCCGAAGUUUUUCGGAAAGCGGCACAGUUUGCCUGGCUAGACAUUGUGGCCAACUGGAAGAAUUGUCCUCCUGUCUCCUGACCGGAACGAGUUCAGACGGAUGUACAGCAUCAGGGAAUGCUUGCAGUGCAGAGCCCUUUUCAAGUUUAACCCACCAGGGUACAGGGAAGAGACCGGCGUGGUGAUCUUCUGGGCUUUUGUUUACACAGGAUUUUGUUCCAAGGACCGUUUUUUUUUUUUUUUGCGGCAUGAAACACAUUUGUGUGUUAAGUUAAUUGAAGGGAAAUAGAGAAUGGACUGAGAUCAACUGGUUUUGAUGUAUUAAUUGAUUUAAUUUAAAGUUAAACUUUGCAGUGUAUAAUGUUUUAAUAAAAAAGCUAUGGAAAACA